CAGCCUACAGAACAGAAGCAGAAAGCACGGCUGUAAACAACUGCAGCCUGCAGCCCUUGUGCAGAGGACACAGUGACUACAUACGAUUUUAAUGGCUCAACCUGUGUGAACCUGCAAAGUAGACCUGUUCCUUACGAGGGACAAUGAAUGUAGCACCUAAGCACAGCCUGGCAUAAAAGUGCAGGGAACCACAAUCCUCACGGACAAGGACAAGGACAUCUACCAUGCACACAAUCUCCACCCUUUCUGUAUUCAUUGAAAAAUAGAGCCUUUCUCCCUUAGCUAUAAAAUGAGCAUAGUCCUCUUUCCCCAGUGCCCUUGAGAAAACGUGGUGAGCUCUUGGUGAGAUCACACUAAAUAAUCCUGAGGUAAGAGGGGGAUAGGAAGGGAGGGUUCACAGACCAAAGGAGGGAAGAAUAUCUGAAACAGGUUGGUGAAAGACCCUUACACUAAAAAAAUCCUGCCUCGAACAGAAUAAAGUUAAAUCUGCUCACAGACACAGGUUAUAUAAAAGAAAACUACAAUUAUAAAAGUAACGGUUUUAAAAUGUUGUCUCCAUCCAUCUAGCUGUUCUGACAAAAGAUAUGACAAUGGGUCCUCAUAAGGACCAGAGAGGUUCUGGAGGCUGGAAAAUGCAAAUUCAGGCCACUGGUAGGUUUUUCUCUGCCAGGUACAGGCCUGGUAUCUGCUAAGAGUACCUUAAAUCUUUGGACUUGAAAGUAUAAAGACAAAAAAGGUUAAGAUUCUAAUUCUGUAUGGGUGACAAGCUUAAAGGCCCCACUUCUUAAUUAUAUUGUGGGGGAUUAAGUUUGAACAGGAGUUUUGUGGGUUACACAAACAUUCAAGUCAUAGCAACAAUCUUUCAUAGCAAAGAAAGAGCAUCUGAACCUUAACUGAGUGGCAAGUAGAAGACAAAAGACACAGUAACACUUAGGUAAACGGUCAAACUAGAGUUUUACACCCGCUAAACUACCAAACAAAAUGGGUUAAAUUCAUGAGCACCACUGUAAACUGGGCAGAGGCAUGUGCACAGUCUAUGCCAGCACCAGCAGAUGACACAUUCUCAAGCUCCCGUUCAAGGCUUUAACAACACAGCUGUGACAGUUACCUGGGAGAUGGGCCACUGAGCAUGGGGUGGGGAAGUUGAUUAUGUUAACUGCUGCCUGCUGUGUGUGGCUCCUUUCUUGACAAGGAUCCUGUCCUAUAUGAAUGGAGAAAGGAAGGUGAGCGUCAGUGUGCAUUCAUCGGUUCCUGUUCCUGACUGUGACAGGAUCAACUGCUCAAGACGCCUGCCACCUGGAUGGACCGUGCUCUUGAACAUUUUGCAGAUUGUAAAGCAGAAGACCUAGUAAACGGGAGUUUGUCCAUCCUUACCAUGGGAAGACUCAACAUCGUCCUGAAGUCAAUUCUACAGACUCAGAAUCAAAAUCCCCAGCAACCACUGUGUGGACACUGACAAACUGAUAAAAGUUUUGGUAGAGCUGGAUGACCAGAAGAACUAACAUAACAUCAAAAAUGAACAAAACUGAUGAUAUUCAUGGCAGUAUAUAUGAAAAUAGACAGAUAAAAGAACAAAAUAGCCCAGGCUAAAAAAACAGUCCUGUGAUCUCUGA
rnacentral:sRNA from 1 species